UCAGUUAUUAUAUACGGUAAAAGAGCAAUGCAAAUUAAUAUUAAAUAGUUGAAUUGUAAUAAAAAAAUCUAUAAAACGCCAACGAUUACAAACAUAAACAGGUCCAAAAUCAAUACUAAAGGAAUAAAGUUUGAAAAAAAAAAGAUUAAAAGAAAAUUUUAAACUCUAUUUGAAAACUCGAACUCCCCAAUUUAGUUUACAUAAACAAAACCGCCGCCUUCUUAAAAUAAAUUGGCCUUUUCCAGCGACCUCAAGAAGAGAUUUCUUCACCAUUAAAGUUAAAACUUUAUACACAAAGAAAAAAUACAAGACAGAAGACAAACCAAAAUAUCAGAGUCAAAGAGAAUGGAGAAGAGAAGAGAAAGCACAUGCAACUCGAUUAGGAGGAGAUAGAAGAGUCAGACACUUAGGAAGGGAAAAACUUUCUUCCUCAAUCGUGUCAAGCCAUCAUCUCCAGAAUCGAGAGCCUCUUCCAGGUCGACGAUCCAUCAAAAUAUCAUUAUGAAGUCAAAUAUGGGAGCUCAAUCUACAAGAAAUAAAGUAGAAAAAAAUAAAAAAAAAAAUCAAUAACCAUGGCAAGCCAAAAAGAUCUCUCACUCAACAAAAGCAUCGGUUGCUAGAACCACAAAAUCAAUAAAGGUAUGUACAAACUCACCUAGAGGAGAGGGAGGACACUCACGUCUAGACAAGGAAGGGGAGAGCCACCUCUGCUCGAAAAGAAUAGAGAUAGCUGCGCAAAACCAGUAAAGGAUGAGGAUUGAGUAUAAAAAAAAACUCUUUAACAAUGAUAGAAAACUCUCUCUAUCAACCAGAGAAAGAAGCUACAUUUUUUUAGUUGAGUUUUCAAACUCACAUGAAACUUUUAUUUUAUUUAUAA
rnacentral:lncRNA from 1 species